GCGCAAAGCAGCGGCGGCCCUCACGCCAGACACCAGCGCACCCUCACCAGCUGCAGACCCCAGACACCAGCGCACCCUCCCAGCUGCAGACCCCAGCCCGACCCCCGGAGAGUCACCUGGAGAGUCAGGAGAGCUGGGGCUUUGACAUCAUCUUCAAAUCAUCGCAGCUGUCAGGAAAGCCCGUCUGCCCGGCUAGGGGAGAGGAGGACAGUUGAGCCCCGGGAGACCCUCAAAGAAGAGCCGUGUCUACAAAGGGCUGAGGCCUCCUCCAGCCGCGGGCCCGCGGGCCAGCCUCCCAAGUGUAGCCUGCGCUGUAUUUCGCCUGUGGCAGUGCCUGGUACCCCGAAAGGGGUGACCUGACAGACAGACGACCGCCCUCCUCAGCCCCUCCCGGAGGAAGCCUGCCUCUGACGGCAUCAUCGGAUGAACCUUUCCUCCAUGUUCUCUGACUCAGGCAUAUUCAUUUUCCAUUUGGUUUUUACUUCAUUUGGAUACCAAGUAAGGAAACAAAGAUAUGAAUCAAUCAUAUUUAGAAAUAUUAGCAGGUAGCAUGGUCUAAAAAUAAGUAAAAACAAAUGUCACGUCAGAGCAGCCCACGAUUGGAUAAUGAGCAUGAAAAUCUUUCCAGUGGCCCUCUUUACCCCGGUGUCAGUUCAGCUUGUUAGGUGUUAAUAACUUUCCCACAGACUGAGCUCCUGGAGUUUAUAAAUCAGACCUGGCGUGUCUGUCAGAACUCAACCUGGGCCCGUGGUGUUCCUGAUCGUGCUAAGGUUUACCAAAUGUUACGUAA